UGGAACACUGUCUCAGGAUCCACCCCUGAGUUUGACCUCCAAGGUGUGUAGAGCCCAGGAAUCUAUUCAUCUUACAGGAAAAGUCAGGCCACAUGAGACACACCCUCUCCAUCACUGAAAAUGAAAGAAACUUGCCUUGGUGAAGACAAUGGACACCAUGAAGAAAUCCAGGAGGAAGCUCUCAGAGAUGUCCUUGUAGUCAAAGUGGAAAAAGAUGACCGUGAAACCCAAGUUGGCGAACUGGUGAACCGGGUUACAGAAUGACGUCCUCAGCAGCUUCAUGCCCGCGGUGAUCAUCAGAAAAAUGUCCCAGCUGUGAAAAACAAGAGGCUGGAUCAAUAUCACGUGAUGUUAUAUAAUCACUAGGGUCCUUUGAGGUCAGACUAUGCAAAUGCCAUGUGCAAUCCCAGAAGGCCAAUUUGGAGGUCCCACACUGUCCACAUCUGCAGACAGGGAGCAGGGCCUCAGAGAACAGGGUGACCAUCUAAAGUUUCAGGGAAAAACUUCAACAGAGUCUUGGUCUGAACUGACUCCUCUGCCCAUCUUCAUUGCCAGUGAAGACACGUUAUGUCUGUCCUGAUUAGGUUUAAUUGUCAACUGGACCAGCCUAGAGUCAUCAGAGAAGAGAGUCUCCGUUGAGGUAUUGCCUGAAUCAGCUUGGCCUUCGGGCAUGUCUGUAGGGGAUUGUCCUUAUUGUUAAUUGAGGACGGAGGGCCAAGCCUAUAAUGGGCAGCGCCAGGCAAGUAGUCCAUGGCUGUAUAAGGAAGCUAGCUAAGCGUGGACCUGGGAGAGAACCAGCAAGCAGCAUUCCUCUGAUGGUUUCUGCUUCAAGCUCUGUAGGAAACAGUCUAAGAACAGAGUCCUGUGAGGAGAAUUCUGCGUGCUUGUGAGAAAAUUCCAAGAAAACAAGACAAGAGUCUCUAGACUCAGUUUCUUCAAAGACAUGGACUUUGUUCUUGGAAUGUGUUUUUGUGACCCUCCACGUGUAUGGAUAGGAGUGAAUUUACUUCAGCCGUUGUUAUUCAUACGACUGUAUGGAAUAACAUGUUUUUGCCAUGUGCAGCCUGUCUUUGUGAUUGUAUUAUACUUUAUUCAGGUGACUCUACUUAACCUUUGGAGUAUAAACUGUCUGAUGCUCUGGUUAAAACUGGCUCUUGCAUGAGGCUUUAGUCCGCCUCAUCUUUAGGUUCCACUCUGGGUUCACCCUGCCAAGUGGAGUGGUAAAUAAAGUUCCUGCUCUGACUUCCCUCAGCAAUA